rnacentral:rRNA from 1 species
AACGCACCUUGCGCUCCUCGGUAUUCCGGGGAGCAUGCCUGUUUGAGAAUCGAUCAAUCUAUCACACCCUAUGGUGUGGAUUUGAAUGACUUUGUGUAAAAGCAAUCAUUUUAAAUGUAGAUCGGUACGUCCAUGAUGUGAAGGACUUUUGCGCCGGAUGCUCAAGACUUGUCUUUUGUCUGGCGACGAGUUCUUCACUUUGGAGUCUGCGACUGAAAGCAUUGGGUAGGAUUCAACCCCGACAUCAAUGCAACAACAUGCGAUCAAAAGCAUGAUAACUUGGUCUCAAAUCAGGCAAGAAAACCCACUGAACUUAA